UGUUGAGCCACAAAGGGAACUCCUGAAGUUAUUUUAAAUUAAGACCUCUACCUUAUUUCAUUUUAAUAACUACCUUAAUAAUACUCAUUAUUAAAGUACCUGCUGUGAUGUAGUGGGUUAGGGGUCCAACUGCAGUGCCUUGAUUGUACAGAGGCAUGAGUUUAAUCCCAGGCCCUGCAGAGUGGGUCGAAGGAUUUAGCAGUGCCACAGCUGUGAUGUAGGUUACAGCUGCAGCUUGGAUUCAAUCCCUGGCCUGGGAACUUCCAUAUGCUGUGGGUGUGGCCAUAAAAAUAACAAACAACACAAAAAACUCAUUAUUUGGCCUAAUGAGACUAAAUACAUUGGAGGCAGGCACAAACUUAUUAUGUGUAUUUUUUAAAGUCCAGUAUGAGGCACAUGGCCAAUGCCCCAUAAAAUUUGUAAAACAAGUGAAUGUAGUAGGCAUGCAAUACAUUUUUAUUAAUUUAAUGAAUAAAACCAUAAAUGGAUGAGUGAAUGAACUAGUUUCUAGUGACUAUUGGCUACUCUAAAUUGAUAGAAGAAAUGAUGACAUGGUGUCCAAAUAAAUUCUGUGAAAAUUUUUAUAGGUACAAUUCCUCUAGAGAAUUUAGGAUAACAUGUUAAUAUGAACUCUUCAUGGAAUGUUGUGUUGUGUCUCUUACUGUUGAAAAGGCAGUUCAUUGCAUCAUGAGAAAUUAUCCUGAAGCUUCUCACAUUUCUUCUUGAAUUUUGUUAAGGACAGACUUGUCUCUCACCCUACCUGGAAUUUUAUCAGAGAAUCUUACUGGCUUAUGUAGCAUCAAAUUUCAAUUUAUGUAAUAAAUAUUUGGCAUUUUGCCAUAGACAGAACUCAUUAAACAAAUGGAAUGCUCCAGAGAGGUUUCUACAGAAAAAGAUGUUCCUUGUAAAAGUCUGUGACUCCUGCUACUUUCUUUCUCUUCUGAACAGAUGGGCUCAUUCUGGACACCAAGCAGAAUUUCAACACGAAUGUCAUCAUCUGUUGGUCCCAAUCUUAUCACAACAGUUUGUAUUUUUAAAGGAAAUACAUAAAGCUGAAAGAUAAUAUUCUUUUCUUUUGCUCACAGGAAACAUGCCUUGUGUUUUUCCCUGAAAAGUUCUGGCUCACAUAACUCUUGACAUGACAACUAAUCUCAAAACCCAUUCUUGUUUUGGAAUUUUUUAAAAGGAUGAUUGCAAGUUCUGCAAAAAUUAUAAUUUAAAAAGCAAGAGCUCAAAACUUUGAGAUGUUUUUGAUGCUGGUUCAACAGAAUCCAGUUUACCUCAGGGGCUUUCAACCAGUGACUGGGAUAGUCAUAUGCACAAGACAUUCAAAUGCACAUCUAUCCAGAGGAGGGCCACAAGUAUGGCAUAUGGAAGUUCACAGGGGUCACAU